AUCCUUUGUAUCGUGUUGAAUCCAAGAUUAGCUCCUGCAUCACUUUCAUUGUAGCAGUUGCUGUUCUGUUGUUGUUGGCACUCGCAUUUCUCCCCCAGAACUAAAACCCUGCUUUGACUGGGAAGUGACCUGAUUUUCAGGUGCUCCCUGACAUGCAUCUGCUGAAUGACACCUUCAAUCUCUACUUGAGUCCGUUCCGUUGUUUCCUUCAGAUGACCUAAUAGAAGUCAUAAUGCCAGACCCGAGGCAUGCAAAGUUGAUAUAUGAAUAAGCCAAAUAAACAGGAAAAAGUGACAUCUUCUCAAAAGAAUUUCCACAAACUCACAAACCCCAAAGGGCAGAGCAUCAGAGACAAGAUAUGGGAUAUAGCCGGGAUCUGCGCCAGAUGCUAGGCUAUCUGUAUACUAUGGUUCCAGCAACCUUGUGUCUAAAACCAAAGGAGAUGCCACCGCUGUCCCCAUGGAACCAGGCUCCACCCUUCCCCAGUCCUGGGAACAACCCUGCCCAUCUGAGAUCAGUCCCAACGUGGAGAAGCAGUCUCGAUUAUCUCUACAGGCAGAGAGAACUGGAAGCAAAUAAAUGUGGCAUCACUUGCCCAAGGGCAGAGUCAGAAACAGAAGAGGGAAUGAUAAUCAUAAUAACUUGCAUUUGUGAAGUGCUUUUCCCACUGAAAAAUCCUGAGCUCUUAGCAAUGCACAAUCUAAUUCAUCAUUACAAUAAUGCUAUGAGGUUAAACAAGAAGUGUUGAUUAUCUUAGUAGGGAAAAGUUUUAAAAUAUAGCUGUGUAGCUAACUUCAUAACCAUGUGGUUAGAUUGGAUUUAAAAAUCAUGUUUUGCAUUACACUCAAAUAUGGAUUAUUAGGAACUCAGUGAGAGUUCCAAGGCAGAGAAAAUUAGUCAGGGCUUUCCCCACUCUAUCUCUGGCUUCCUGUGUCCCAAGUUUAAACCAGAGCAAAAGACACAGGGUAGGCAUUUAAGGGAAUGCAUGUGAAUGUGGACUCAGUCAAACAUAAGUCCUCUCUACACUCAGCACUAGGACCUUAGACAAGAAACUUAACCUCGAAUGAGCCUCUUUUCUCAUUAGUAGAAUAGGUAUAAUAACUCAACUACAUAUAUAAAUUAAAUAUUAAAAAGGAAGCAGGUGUCCAGCAUGAUGUCUGACCAAAUGGCUGCUUAAUAGUGGUUGAUAUUUUUUUUAAUAGUGGUUGAUAUUAAUAUUUAUAUCUAUCAGUAACAAUAAAUGGUUUUUGCAGUUUUUUAAAAGUUGUAAA
rnacentral:lncRNA from 12 species